GCAGACUCACUCUGUCCUCUGCUGCACAUUCCAGCCUGGGACUUUUUCUGUCUGCUACAUUAACACGCAGAAUGUUACACUUGACUGGCUUUCUGAAAAAGCUGGUGUCACUAUGUUCUGCCACAUUAGU